rnacentral:misc_RNA from 1 species
CAGAGUUGCAAGACUCCCUAAACCAUUGUGAACCUACCUUCUACCGUUGCUUCGGCGGGCGGGCCCAGCGCCCCCCCGGCCCCCCGCGGGCGCCCGCCGGAGGAUACCCAAACUCUUGACAUUAGUGGCCUCUCUGAGUAUUCUUUACUGAGUAAGUCA